GAGCAACUUGGGUCGAGCAAAGAGAGGAGCAGAAGAGAUGAUAGGGUUCUUGUCUUGGUCGGUGGGUGGAGAGAGAGAGAGGGGUUCUUGUCUCGUACCAGCGGCGGCGGAACUAGACGGGGUAGGCCCGUAGAGGGCGCUGUGCCAGGCCACCCGAACGGUGGCCGACGUCGCCGUUGCUACAGAGGUACGCAUGUAGGAGGGGAUCGCGUCGGUGUGCGUGCUCCGAACGCCGGUGCCCGCAGCCCGCACACGCCGAAGUGGCUGCGACGAGCCAGCGUACCGAAACGACGAUUGCCACACCUGAUCGGUGUAGGAUGACGAUGAUGACGUUCCAUUUAUCUAGUUCCACUUAUCUACGAGUACCUGACUAAGUUUGGUUCCACUUCUAUCUAUUCUUCAGUUCGUUUUUCCCAUUGUGUUGUUCCAUGAAGUAAUCAUGGACCACUGCGUACGUUGGGUUUCCCGAAGUAACGUCACUUCCUGUUGUCACACCGUCUUCCACUUUUCCGUUCACCACCCCCAUGAGGUCACAUACACAAACACACACUCCACCUUACCUGGUAUCACUUUCCUUGCCGAGGAUAAAUAUCACCCCAAUCAUCGAUACAGCCAAACCUCUCCGUAAUGUAGACCGUACGUACUCACCAAUCCGAUCGUACGUACGGAGGUGAACACAGAGAACAUCCGACAUAAUCCCUGUUCACAUUAAACGAACCGAUCGGUAAUCAACUGUAAAUGAAAUACACUUUUUUACUCUGGUUCUAAACUAAUAUUUAAACAUCUUGUAUACUUCCAAACUUUUUAUAAAACAACACGU
rnacentral:rRNA from 1 species